GCGACAAAUUCUUCCAUGGAUGCCUUCUGAUCCGCAAAAACUACAUCUUGUGGCAGAGAAGCAGCAGCUUCUGAUGGCUUCUCCUUGAAGCAAGCCUUGCCAAUUUGGCCGAGAAGUGGAAAAAAGGUGGAUAGUACCAGCAGUAACAAGGUAAGCAACGUUGAAGUCAAAUGAUUACUGCAAUAACUCCAAUAGAUCAGUAGGAGGAGACAGAGUGCAAUGGCUAAUCCACUAUGUCUGGGGGAACAAGGAGAUGCCAUUUGAAGAACAGAUGGUUCCAGCAUGAUGAGUAGUACACUAACUAGGCACUCAAUUUAGUUGGAUCAUGACGAGGAACAUCUUAAAGAAAAUAGUGAGCAACUUGAAUAAACAACUAGAAAAAGUGAAGGUUAAUGGGGCAGCAAUUGACUCUUCUUUUCUUUAGCUACUCCGGAAGCUUGGAGUAUGAGAAUAACUCAGAUACGUGCAAAGAAGGAAGAAGUUCAUGCACCUAAUCUUCUGAACCAUUGAGGAAAAGCAAGCUACUAAGAACAGGAGAAAACAUUGGAGAAGAUAUAAAUCUUGGCCUGAAACAUUAAGGAGAUAUGAGAAGAAGAAUAUAUUUAACAAAAACUUCUUGCAUAGGAAAAAUCCAAAUAUGUGAUUAAAAAGGAAGAGCUUCGAGCGUUUUUCCUACUGAAACAAAGAAUGGCUGGCAAGGCUUUCACACCCCAUCACGUUCCCACUCAUCUUUAAGGAAUAUAUUACUUGCUCUCUUUCCCUAUUUGUUUUCCCCCACAUCUAAGUCUUCUCUAAUAGCACCAAAUAAGUGGUACCACUGUACAAACUACUGCAGCCAUGAAUGGCACUUCCAACCUAAAGCUCCACUAGGGAAAUCUAAAGAAAAAGUAAGCACAAAGGUUCAAAAGUUAUAUUUUCUUUUUCCAAAUUUGAGGAAAUCAUUCAACAAAAACAAUGUGUUUUUAUCUCAGUUGUGAAUACAGAUGAAAAAAAACAAACCUGUUAUGAACUUAAUUUCUUUGUUCUUAGAUUAAAAGACUAUCGACCUUAUAUAUAUACACAUGCAUACCAUAUUAUAAAUUUAUAAACCAAGAAGCCAACAUAUAAAGAACUUACCUGCCUUCUUCAUGAAUCCGUCAAAAUAUA
rnacentral:lncRNA from 1 species